rnacentral:SRP_RNA from 1 species
GCUGGGUAGGUGGUGUGCAACUGCUGUCCCAACUACUCAAGAGGCUGAGACAGGGGGAUUCUUUGAGCCCAGGAAUUAUGGGCUAUAGUACACUAAGUUCAGCAUAAAUAGGGUGACCUUCCAGGAACAGGGGAACACCUAAAGUGAGGUGAAUCAGCCAAGGUCACAAACAAAGCAGGCCAAAACUCCGGUGCUAACCAGUAGCACGAUCAUGCCAACGAUCAUGGUUACUGCACUCCAGCCUGGGCAACAUAGGGAGACUCUAUAUCU